rnacentral:rRNA from 1 species
GACGAACGCUGGCGGCGUGCUUAACACAUGCAAGUCGUGCGGUAAGGCCCUUUCGGGGGUACACGAGCGGCGAACGGGUGCGUAACACGUGAGCAACCUGCCCUUCACUUUGGGGUAACUGCCGGAAACGGUGGCUAAUACCGGAUAUGACUUCCUCACGCAUGUGGGGUGGUGGAAAGCCUUCGGGUGGUGGGGGAUGGGCUCGCGGUCUAUCAGCUUGUUGGUGGGGUGAUGGCCUACCAAGGCUUCGACGGGUAGCCGGCCUGAGAGGGUGACCGGCCACACUGGGACUGAGACACGGCCCAGACUCGUACGGGAGGCAGCAGUGGGGAAUAUUGGACAAUGGGCGAAAGCCUGAGCCAGCAACGCCGCGUGAGGGAUGACGGCCUUCGGGUUGUAAACCUCUGUCGCCUGCGACGAAGCGAGAGUGACGGUAGCAGGUAAAGAAGCACCGGCCAACUACGUG